rnacentral:rRNA from 1 species
AUAAAACUUAGUAAAAUCAGUAAAAAUAUUCUUAGGCUAAAGUUAAGUAGUUUAAGUUGUGUGCAAGUGGUAGGAGAGCGUUCUAUUUGCGUCGAAGGUAUACCGGUAAGGAGUGCUGGAGCGAAUAGAAGUGAGCAUGCAGGCAUGAGUAGCGAUAAUUAAUGUGAGAAUCAUUAACGCCGUAAACCCAAGGUUUCCUACGCGAUGCUCGUCAUCGUAGGGUUAGUCGGGUCCUAAGUCGAGUCCGAAAGGGGUAGACGAUGGCAAAUUGGUUAAUAUUCCAAUACCAACAUUAGUGUGCGAUGGAAGGACGCUUAGGGCUAAGGGGGCUAGCGGAUGGAAGUGCUAGUCUAAGGUCGUAGGAGGUUAUACAGGCAAAUCCGUAUAACAAUACUCCGAGAACUGAAAGGCUUUUUGAAGUCUUCGGAUGGAUAGAAGAACCCCUGAUGCCGUCGAGCCAAGAAAAGUUUCUAAGUUUAGCUAAUGUUGCCCGUACCGUAAACCGACACAGGUGGGUGGGAUGAGUAUUCUAAGGCGCGUGGAAGAACUCUCUUUAAGGAACUCUGCAAAAUAGCACCGUAUCUUCGGUAUAAGGUGUGGUUAGCUUCGUACUAGGAUUUACUCCGAAAGCGAAGAAACUUACAACAAAGAGUCCCUCCCGACUGUUUACCAAAAACACAGCACUCUGCUAACUCGUAAGAGGAUGUAUAGGGUGUGACGCCUGCCCGGUGCUCGAAGGUUAAUUGAUGGGGUUAGCAUUAGCGAAGCUCUUGAUCGAAGCCCGAGUAAACGGCGGCCGUAACUAUAACGGUCCUAAGGUAGCGAAAUUCCUUGUCGGUUAAAUACCGACCUGCAUGAAUGGCGUAACGAGAUGGGAGCUGUCUCAAAGAGGGAUCCAGUGAAAUUGUAGUGGAGGUGAAAAUUCCUCCUACCCGCGGCAAGACGGAAAGACCCCGUGGACCUUUACUACAGCUUGACACUGCUAUUUGGAUAAGAAUGUGCAGGAUAGGUGGGAGGCUUUGAGUAUAUGACGCCAGUUGUAUAGGAGCCAUUGUUGAGAUACCACUCUUUCUUAUUUGGGUAGCUAACCAGCUUGAGUUAUCCUCAAGUGGGACAAUGUCUGGUGGGUAGUUUGACUGGGGCGGUCGCCUCCCAAAUAAUAACGGAGGCUUACAAAGGUUGGCUCAGAACGGUUGGAAAUCGUUCGUAGAGUAUAAAGGUAUAAGCCAGCUUAACUGCAAGACAUACAAGUCAAGCAGAGACGAAAGUCGGUCUUAGUGAUCCGGUGGUUCUGUGUGGAAGGGCCAUCGCUCAAAGGAUAAAAGGUACCCCGGGGAUAACAGGCUGAUCUCCCCCAAGAGCUCACAUCGACGGGGAGGUUUGGCACCUCGAUGUCGGCUCAUCGCAUCCUGGGGCUGGAGCAGGUCCCAAGGGUAUGGCUGUUCGCCAUUUAAAGCGGUACGCGAGCUGGGUUCAGAACGUCGUGAGACAGUUCGGUCCCUAUCUGCCGUGGGCGUAAGAAGAUUGAAGAGAUUUGACCCUAGUACGAGAGGACCGGGUUGAACAAACCACUGGUGUAGCUGUUGUUCUGCCAAGAGCAUCGCAGCGUAGCUAAGUUUGGAAAGGAUAAACGCUGAAAGCAUCUAAGCGUGAAGCCAACUCUAAGAUGAAUCUUCUCUAAGCUCUCUAGAAGACUACUAGUUUGAUAGGCUGGGUGUGUAAUGGAUGAAAGUCCUUUAGCUGACCAGUACUAAUAGAGCGUUUGGCUUAUCUUU